rnacentral:rRNA from 1 species
GACAGAGGGUGCAAACGUUGUUCGGAAUUACUGGGCGUAAAGCGCGUGUAGGCGGCUAAGUAAGUCGGGCGUGAAAUCCCACGGCUCAACCGUGGAAGUGCACUCGAAACUGCAUAGCUAGAGUCCUGGAGAGGAAGGUGGAAUGCUUGGUGUAGAGGUGAAAUUCGUAGAUAUUGGGAAGAACACCGAUGGCGAAGGCAGCCAUCUGGACCGACACUGACGCUGAGGCGCGAAAGCGUGGGGAGCAAACAGG